AGAGUUUGAUCCUGGCUCAGGAUGAACGCUAGCGGGAGGCUUAAUACAUGCAAGUCGUACGGUAGGAUUCCUUCGGGGAUCUGAGAGUGGCGAACGGGUGAGUAACACGUAUGCAAUCUGGCUCUAACAGGGAGAUAGCCCUUCGAAAGGAGGAUUAAUAUUCCAUAGUAUCAUUGUGAGGCAUCUCAUGAUGAUUAAAGUUUCGGCGGUUAGAGAUGAGCAUGCGUUCCAUUAGCUAGUUGGUGAGGUAACGGCUCACCAAGGCGACGAUGGAUAGCUGGUCUGAGAGGAUGAUCAGUCACACGGGCACUGAGACACGGGCCCGACUCCUACGGGAGGCAGCAGUAGGGAAUAUUGGGCAAUGGAGGCAACUCUGACCCAGCCAUCCCGCGUGCAGGAAGAAGGCCCUCUGGGUCGUAAACUGCUUUUGUUAGGGAAGAAAAAGCUUUAUUUAUAGAGCCCUGACGGUACCUAACGAAUAAGCACCGGCUAACUCCGUGCCAGCAGCCGCGGUAAUACGGAGGGUGCGAGCGUUAAUCGGAAUUACUGGGCGUAAAGCGCGCGUAGGUUGUUGUGUAAGUGGAAUGUGAAAGCCCUGGGCUUAACCUGGGAACUGCAUACCAAACUGCAUGGCUAGAGUACGGUAGAGGGGGGUAGAAUUUCAGGUGUAGCGGUGAAAUGCGUAGAGAUCUGAAGGAAUACCAGUGGCGAAGGCGGCCCCCUGGACUGAUACUGACACUGAGGUGCGAAAGCGUGGGUAGCAAACAGGAUUAGAUACCCUGGUAGUCCACGCCGUAAACGAUGUCUACUAGCCGUUGGAGUCCUUAGAGAUUUUAGUGGCGCAGCAAACGCAGUAAGUAGACCGCCUGGGGAGUACGGCCGCAAGGCUAAAACUCAAAUGAAUUGACGGGGGCCCGCACAAGCGGUGGAGCAUGUGGUUUAAUUCGAAGCAACGCGAAGAACCUUACCUACUCUUGACAUCCUCGGAACUUAGCAGAGAUGCUUUGGUGCCUUCGGGAACCGAGAGACAGGUGCUGCAUGGCUGUCGUCAGCUCGUGUCGUGAGAUGUUGGGUUAAGUCCGGCAACGAGCGCAACCCUUGUCCUUAGUUGCGACCGCGUAAUGGCGAGCACUCUAGGGAGACUGCCGAUGCAAGUCGGAGGAAGGUGGGGAUGACGUCAAGUCCUCAUGGCCCUUAUAUGCAGGGCUACACACGUGCUACAAUAGGCAAUACAAAGGGUCGCGAAGCCGCGAGGUGGAGCCAAUCCCAAAAAGUUGUCCUCAGUUCGGAUUGCAGUCUGCAACUCGACUGCAUGAAGUCGGAAUCGCUAGUAAUCGUGGAUCAGCAUGCCACGGUGAAUACGUUCCCGGGUCUUGUACACACCGCCCGUCACACCAUGGGAGUCGUUUGCUCCAGAAGUCGGUGACCCAACCUUUGGGAGGGAGCCGCCGAAGGAGUGAACGGUGACUGGGGUGAAGUCGUAACAAGGUAACCGUA
rnacentral:rRNA from 1 species